AUGGUCCAAAAAAUAUGGUCUGAAAACUAUAUGUCACAUGAAGGAACAAUGUUACCAAAUUUCUGGAACUGCCAUUAGAAAUACCUAAUAUUACUGAGAAAAUAAUGCCAUUUUCAGUUUUCUUUUGACAGAGCCUUGGGACUUUAAAAGCCAUAAUGCAGAAGAGUUCAUUUUGCUUACCUCCAAUGAUAAAAACUGUAAGAUUGUUUCUUUGGGGAGAUCCACCUGUUAGUACAUAAAAAUGCAUGUCACCUGACAGGGAACCCACAGUGGCACAUAAUGACUUAUGGUGAUGUCAUCACUUCGAGGGAGCAACAUGAUCAGGGCUGGCAGAGUCUGGGGAGCCACUGUGUGAGCCAUGAAGCAGACUCAGUGGACUGUGCACGGACAAGGGCUCAGCCCCGGUGAACCGACACUCCUCGUUCCCAAACCACACGCGCUCCAAAGGCCUCAAACGUUUAAAAAGUGAUUUGUUUUCACUCCCCCCUCAUCUUGCACAGGAAGACAGUAAGAGAAACAAACAUAAAACCUUCAAUUUUCUCCCCAGUUCUUUACAGAUUUAAAUUCGAUGUGGUUCCCAUCAGUGGUAAUAGGCUUGCACCCCAAUGUGGCUGACACUGGGUGAAAAAGCCCUGACCUCUGAGGGAGCUACUUUGACAGUCUGGGCGGAAGCCAUCCUCAAAGUGUUAAAGAAAGCAACUUACAGCCAAAAUUUCAAUUUCACUGCUUUUCUGAUGUAAGUUGGCAAGGGACGUCUGAAGUCGGGUCUGUACCUAACAAGAAAUCAUGUCGGAAUUCAGAACCUGUCAGAUCAAGCCAUUGUUCUUGUCAUUUUAUCUUCUAUCCCAGGAAAUAAUCACAGAUGACAAACCAAAGCCUAGAAGGGAUCCCAAAUAUUAUCCUAGGAAUUGCUCUUAAUGCACCUCAGAAAGAUGUAUGUGUAUCCUAUUAUGAUCUCAGGGGCAAUGAGAUUUCAUAGUUUAUCCUUAUACUUUGUUUAAUAAUCCACGUAGUUGCUUAUUUCUGUAUAAUGUUCAGAUGACGCCCAGGAAAGGCCCAGAGCAGUGGCCCUGCGCCAGGAAGCAGGGAGAUUUCCGUGCCAGGUGAGAUUUGGGAAAAGGGAAGGCGACAGCAGUGAAAACACGGGACUGAAAUAUGGUAGAAAGCUGUGAAAAAUAAGUUGCCACGAAAAUCCUGAGACACGGCAGAGCUUACAAAAAUGAGGUAAUCUGAUCUUUCGUAUCUCAAAUUACGUUUCUGAAAAAUGGCCACUCUCCAGCACUCCCCUCUUCCCAGGCGAGGCUGGCGUCCACCGUGCUCAUCGGCUCCGUCCCUCUCGCUCGCACGCCUAACCUUGCCUCCCAGCCUGUCUCAGUCCUUGAGGGACCACCUCCGUGAGGCAGACACUGAUCUCUGUCUCUCCCAUGUGCCUGCAGUACACUACUAACGCUCACGUUAAAUACAUUUAAUUCCAGUUUUCUUCCGCCUUUGUGGCUCACAUCAGAAAGCCUGGGAAACUCUGCCGCGUACCUGAGUUUCAUACCGCCGCCUAGUGCUGGCUGACAGCUUCUCCGGGGCCACCACGCUCACAGUGGGAACAACUGCUGUGCCGUGGAUUUCAAACAGACCUGGAACAGAGAGAGUUUCAGAAUCCAUGGCCUUAUGUGGUCCUAUGUUCUAUAACACACCACAGAAAUGAUGGGGAUGUAACAGAACCCACUCUGGGGUGGCUCUAUGGACUAGAUUAUGUCUGGGCCUUGUUUCCUCUCUCUGCAACUGCCCACACUUGCCCAGGGAGAACCCAGGACCCCAGCACCCAGCAGUUUUAUGCUUCUGUCAAGACCAACAGCCUUCUCUGCUCAGGUGGGACUGGGAGCUGAGAAAAGCAUAGGGAGGCAACACAAAUCACCAAAACCUCAUGAACCUUAGAAAAAAAUCAAACAUUAUCUCUGAAACUCUAGGACUUCCUGUAAACCCUCAAAGCAUUUGAAACCUGAAGGUGCCAGAGAGUCAGUGCUAACAGAAGUGAACCAAAAAGACCUAAUUCUGCUAAGAACCAAAUAUAUCUUCUCGUGGACGUAAUUUGGGCAUUUCAUUUUCAGUACGAUCAUGUGAUGAAGGUGAAGGCAUAACUAGCGCCAUUGUUCCCGCUUGGCUUUCGUGAAAAUAAAAUGUAUAUAGUGUCUUUCUUCAAGGGAUUUCAAAAUACUUUUCUUCAAUCCUCUGAGUGGGGGAAACUUCCAGCAAUAUGGCCCUCAUUUAAUUAAUCUAUACCAUAAACUAUGUUGAAGUACUUAUUGAAUUUUGAACUGACUGAACUACUUAUGAAAAUAAGACAGUAAAACAAAGAAGAUCAGGAUCAGAAGUCAAAUGCUCAGUUGUAAUUUUCUCAUUUUCUAGGAUGUGAGUUUCAAAACAUGGAUAAAUUUCAUUUGGUACAGUUAAUUGUAUAUAUAUAUUAUUUU